AUUGAACGCUGGCGGCAGGCCUAACACAUGCAAGUCGAGCGGUAGCACAGAGAGCUUGCUCUCGGGUGACGAGCGGCGGACGGGUGAGUAAUGUCUGGGAAACUGCCUGAUGGAGGGGGAUAACUACUGGAAACGGUAGCUAAUACCGCAUAACGUCGCAAGACCAAAGUGGGGGACCUUCGGGCCUCAUGCCAUCAGAUGUGCCCAGAUGGGAUUAGCUAGUAGGUGGGGUAACGGCUCACCUAGGCGACGAUCCCUAGCUGGUCUGAGAGGAUGACCAGCCACACUGGAGAUGAGACACGGUCCAGACUCCUACGGGAGGCAGCAGUGGGGAAUAUCGCACAAUGGGCGCAAGCCUGAUGCAGCCAUGCCGCGUGUGUGAAGAAGGCCUUCGGGUUGUAAAGCACUUUCAGCGGGGAGGAAGGCGGUGAGGUUAAUAACCUCAUCGAUUGACGUUACCCGCAGAAGAAGCACCGGCUAACUCCGUGCCAGCCGCCGCGGUAA
rnacentral:rRNA from 1 species